UUGAUUGACAGGUGUAGGAUGUGGUGCGGUCUUGAUUGACAGGUGUAGGAUGUGGUGCGGUCUUGAUUGACAGUGUAGGAUGUGGUGAGGUCUUGAUUGACAGGCCAACUCAGUAUGGACUUUCCCAGCCGAGCUGCCUCUAGCAGGAGACAGCGUUGUCCUGAAAAACAGAAAAUAAACAAAUAAAUAAAUGAAUGAAUGAAUAAAACACCCAUGGGACCAGAAUUUGUUCACCUUCACGCUAAACUGGGAAAAAAAAAUAAUUUAAAAAAAAUA